GCCUUCGUGGUGCAACUGGAAGCACGCUUGAUUCGUAUUCGGGAGAUCCCAAGAUCGAAUCCCAGCGAAGGCA
rnacentral:tRNA from 1 species